AGCAGCCGCGGUAAUUCCAGCUCCAAUAGCGUAUAUUAAAGUUGUUGCAGUUAAAAAGCUCGUAGUUGAAUUUCGGGAUCAAUGCGUCGGUCGUGCCUUCGGUACGUACUAGCGUCAUUGAUUCCUCCCUUCUGAAGAACCGUGAUGUCAUUAAUUUGGUGUUACGGGAAAUCAGGACUGUUACCUUGAAAAAAUUAGAGUGUUUAAAGCAGGCUAACGCUUGAAUACAUUAGCAUGGAAUAAUGAAAUAGGACGUUCGAACCUAUUUUGUUGGUUUUUAGGAUCAACGUAAUGAUUAAUAGGGAUAGUUGGGGGCAUUAGUAUUCAAUUGUCAGAGGUGAAAUUCUUGGAUUUAUUGAAGACUAACUACUGCGAAAGCAUUUGCCAAGGAUGUUUUCAUUAAUCAAGAACGAAAGUUAGGGGAUCGAAGACGAUCAGAUACCGUCGUAGUCUUAACCAUAAACUAUGCCGACUAGGGAUCGGAUGAUGUUAAUUUUUUAAUGACUCAUUCGGCGCCUUACG
rnacentral:rRNA from 1 species